UACGUAGGGGGCAAGCGUUGUCCGGAUUUAUUGGGCGUAAAGAGCGUGUAGGCGGUUCGGUAGGUCCGUUGUGAAAACUCGAGGCUCAACCUCGAGACGCCGAUGGAAACCCUCGAACUAGAGUCCGGAAGAGGAGAAUGGAAUUCCUGGUGUAGCGGUGGAAAUGCGCAGAUAUACAGGGAAGAACACCCGUGGCUAAGGCGGUUCUCUAGUACGGUACUGACGCUGAGACGCGAAAGCGUGGGGAGCGAACAGG
rnacentral:rRNA from 1 species